AUUGAACGCUGGCGGCAGGCCUAACACAUGCAAGUCGAGCGGAUGAAGGGAGCUUGCUCCUGGAUUCAGCGGCGGACGGGUGAGUAAUGCCUAGGAAUCUGCCUGCUAGUGGGGGAUAACGUCCGGAAACGGGCGCUAAUACCGCAUACGUCCUGAGGGAGAAAGUGGGGGAUCUUCGGACCUCACGCUAUCAGAUGAGCCUAGGUCGGAUUAGCUAGUUGGUGGGGUAAAGGCCUACCAAGGCGACGAUCCGUAACUGGUCUGAGAGGAUGAUCAGUCACACUGGAACUGAGACACGGUCCAGACUCCUACGGGAGGCAGCAGUGGGGAAUAUUGGACAAUGGGCGAAAGCCUGAUCCAGCCAUGCCGCGUGUGUGAAGAAGGUCUUCGGAUUGUAAAGCACUUUAAGUUGGGAGGAAGGGCAGUAAGUUAAUACCUUGCUGUUUUGACGUUACCAACAGAAUAAGCACCGGCUAACUUCGUG
rnacentral:rRNA from 1 species